GCUUUUGGAAGGAUAAACUUUUAUUUCAAGGGAAAAUGCUGGACUCAGUUCUGCUCUCAUCUUAGAUCUGAAGGGAGUUGGCCAGGUCUCCUCUUCUUGAGGGUACAUGACUAAGAGAGAUGGGAGGGGGCCCACAGCACAGAGACCUGUUGCCAAGAACAUCUCAGGGUGGAGAGACCUUUGGAACAUUUUUUUCCACUCUACAUCAGACAGAAUAAAAUUGAUUAGCAUUUAAUUGGUUUCAGCUGUUCUUAACAUGUUGCAUAGAAAACGUCAAUGUACUUUGCUAAAUUCAAUAUUCCUUAUGGUUAACAGAUUGAAAACCAAAAACGUCCUUGAAGAAAACACCAGAAAUCAGUGCUUUAGAUCACACUGAGUUGUUUGCUAUUGGUCACCCACUUGGAAUGUUCUGGGAACGCUAACUACUUUGGAUUGGAUAUAUUCAGAAAAGAAACAAAUCUUUGUCUGAUCAGAUGUAUUUGGAGAAAACAAAAAACCCACAACCCAAAGGAUGGGAUUUCACAUCUCAAGACAUCUCCCAGCCUUUAGGCCAUUGAGCUCCAGAUGAACCUCAGUGAGGGAUAGUGUCCUCUCAAUAUUCAAGAGUUACCCUUCUAUGGGGGACCCCCUAGACUGCCCAUCAGUGAGACACAACAGAGGCAAAAUCCUGCCCCUCUCUCCCUUGGACCUGGCUGGAUACCAGUUUCCCCAAUCCAUGGAAACAGCCUCCUGCUCUGACAACUAGCAAGAGGCCAAGACUCACAGAACCACCUACAACCCCCCAACCUCUGUCAGCAGGAAGCCAUUACAGAAGGCUCACCUUCAUCCAUUUUCUCCAAAUAACUGGGGUCUUGGACUCUUGAGGGGGGAAAUGCUAUAGUAGGUAGCUAGUAAGAC